CAUUCCUCCUCCUCCUUUUUUUUCCUCCUUCUUCCUUCUUUUACUCUAUUUUCCUUCCUUCCUUCCUUCCUUCCUUCACAGUUCAAACGUUGCACCUUCACUUUUUAAACUCUUUAUUAUUAUUGUCGCCUUUACAAUAGGUGGACAUAAACUUAAUGUACUUUCAGAGAGUCCAAAAGUACAAGAAUCACUUAAAAUUUAACAUCCCUUUCACACCAAAGUUAAAACGAGGUGGUGGUGGUGGUGGGUGGGUGGUGGUGGUAGUGGUGAUGGUGGUGGUGUUGUUGGUGGUGGUCUGAGUGCCAAAGUGCCUCCUACCGUGUGGCCCUGCCCUGGCCUGUCACUGCUGCAACUGUGCCACUGUAUAUAACUGAUUGGGAAAGGCUGGGAGUGACUGGGAGAGGAUGGGAGUGACUGGGAGAGGCUGAGAGAGGCUGGAAUGGAUUGGGAGAGGCUGGGAUAGACUGGGAGAGCAUGGGAGUGACUGGGAGGCAAUGGGAGAGGCUGGGAGUGACUGGGAGAGGCUGGGAGUGUGUGCCUGGCUUGAAAAAUACUUGAUAUAUCAAUAAAGUUUCAGCGUGUUUUGACAAGAGUUGUAGGGGCCAAAACAGCGCCAAGCAGUAGCAGCAGCGGCAGCAGGAGCACCCCACACACACACACACACACACACACACACACACACACACACAUACAAACAAGGCAAAG